AGGAAUACAGGUGGUUUGAUGAAUCCAGUCUCGACCGAGCAGUGCAUUAUACUCGGUCUUGGAGUCGACGAUAAAAAAUGCGGUCAUGUGAUUACGGCCGACAAUAUUUACCGCUAAAGGAAGCACCCCUUUGGUUUGGGAUUUGUCUCCGACGAAACUGCUCAUUGUGAUCCCAGAGGGAAUGAGUUCAUCAUUGGAGCAACGUAACGCCUUCAUGAUGUUUACAGGCAUGAUAUUGACCAUGGCUCGGCAGUCGACAAAAACUUUGGAGACUGGAUACCCUUCGAUAUGGGCCAUGACAUAGAAUGGCUUUAAAUGAUGAAGUUUGGCCGAUGAUGCACGAGGAAACAAUUCGGCCAAAGCUGCUUUGAUGUUGUCAUCUUUUGUUGUCGAUUCGUCAUUAGCAACAGUUACAAAAUCAAUGUGACCGGCUUCCUCGACAAUUACGUCACCAUCAAGGAAAUUUGGUUGGGAUGUGCUCGACUAAAAAUCAGCGGGCAAAAUAUAGACCAUACUGAUUUCCAUGUUAUCCAGGACCGACAGGCCCAUCGGGUUACCAUCAUCCUCGUCCGCCUCUUCGCGCUCCUGGUCACCGACUGCGGCAUCUACUUGCGGUGGAGUAGUACUAAGAGAUUCUUCUGCGCCUUCUUCAAUGGUUUGUUCUCGCAGUGUCUCUUCGGAAGCCUGUUUGUUCUAUGCAGAAACCUUCGGUGCGUCUGAAAUCGGAAUUGCGUAUGGGAUUGAUGCCAGGAUACGAGCUUGCUCUUGGUACAUUAUACGGGCAUCCCUGGUGUCAAGGUAAGCAUCCAACCGUGCAACUCGUGUUAUUUCAUCGGCCGUGAGGCUGAAGAGAGAAACGGCCGAAAAAACUUCGAAGUGGUAUCGUAAAUAUUGAAGGUCCUCCAUGGAGACAGGAAGGUCGGCUGCAUCGAUGUCAGUAUAUGGGUCGACUUCAAAACCAAGGACACAAGCUUCCCGUAUGUGCUGGAACCU
rnacentral:lncRNA from 1 species